GUGACCUAGGGUUGUGGAUUUCAUCAUUGUUUCUAGAAAUAGAUUUUGUGGUUUUGUUAUAAUUGGUGUUUAGAAGUUGUAUUCGAAGUUUGAGAGUGUUGCAGCCUUGUUCGAAGUGGUGUUAGUCAAAAAAUAUGGAGUUGAUUCUACGAAGAAGACGAGCUGGGAUUCCUUUGAUUUCCUGAACUAUUAUUCAAAAUUGAUUCCAAAAU
rnacentral:lncRNA from 1 species